ACCAAUGGAAGUUUCUCAACCAGAAUUACCUAGUAAUGAGGUACAUCCGAAAUAUACACCUUUCUGAAAGUCAUAUAGAGUGCGUUAUGCACCCUCAAGAUAUGAUUUCAUCAUAGAAAAUGAUAAUGAGACUAGUAUCAUUUAGGAUGAUGAUCCAUUGACUUAUUCGGAAGCCAUCAUGAGUAAGGACUCUGACAAGUGGCUUGAUGCUAUAAAAUCUGAAAUGGACCCAAUGUAUUCCAACCA
rnacentral:lncRNA from 1 species